GAUGAACGCUGGCGGCGUGCCUAAUACAUGCAAGUCGAGCGAACAGACGAGGAGCUUGCUCCUCUGACGUUAGCGGCGGACGGGUGAGUAACACGUGGAUAACCUACCUAUAAGACUGGGAUAACUUCGGGAAACCGGAGCUAAUACCGGAUAAUAUAUUGAACCGCAUGGUUCAAUAGUGAAAGACGGUUUUGCUGUCACUUAUAGAUGGAUCCGCGCCGCAUUAGCUAGUUGGUAAGGUAACGGCUUACCAAGGCAACGAUGCGUAGCCGACCUGAGAGGGUGAUCGGCCACACUGGAACUGAGACACGGUCCAGACUCCUACGGGAGGCAGCAGUAGGGAAUCUUCCGCAAUGGGCGAAAGCUUGACGGAGCAACGCCGCGUGAGUGAUGAAGGUCUUCGGGUCGUAAAGCUCUGUUAUUGGGGAAGAACAAAUGUGUAAGUAACUAUGCACGUCUUGACGGUACCUAAUCAGAAAGCCACGGCUAACUACGUG
rnacentral:rRNA from 1 species